rnacentral:rRNA from 1 species
AACGAACGCUGGCGGCGCGCUUAACACAUGCAAGUCGAACGAGAAGGCGUAGCAAUACGCUUGUACAGUGGCGAACGGGUGAGUAAUACGUGGGUGACCUACCCUCGAGUGGGGAAAUAACCCGCCGAAAGGCGGGCUAAUGCCGCGUACGCUUCCAUCUUUAUGGAGGUGGAAAGGAAAGCCGUGCCGUGGGCACGGCGCUC